rnacentral:lncRNA from 1 species
AUCUGUAAACCUAUUUCGUGACAUUUAUAGAGCAAUUGUUUUAUUUUUAGGAUAUAAGGGGAGACUAACUUCAUUUUCAGGUGGUUGCCUACUACUGCCUGCAGACAGCUUUUAGCAUCUGAGAAGAUUAUGGCCUUGGGGAUUUUGUGCGAUUCAGCAUAUGCCAAGGCUUCCAUAAGAGCAAUGGAUUCGCCAGUGAAGACAGAAGCCUGAGGUGGACAUUUAUAUGGUAGGAGGAUACGAUACCUAGGGAUCCAUACCGCGGCUCCCACAUAGCUUCCAGGUCCCAAUUUUGAGGCGUCAGUAAAAAUGGAUGCCUCAUCAGACAGGGCCUGUAAUCUCGAAGUGAGCGGGUGAUCCGAUAAGGAACAGGCCUUAAAUACGUAUCGGUCUGACAAAAGUUGCCUUCGAAUGAAGAGGGGAGGAUCCACACACUCAACCUGUAAAGCAUUCUUGGGGUUCGAGAAUAAAUGAGGCAUAAUCAAUUUGGCUACGAAUCAGUGCAUUGUAUAGCAACUUUUGGCAGUAGGGGUGUGCACCCCACCAGACUCCAGAAAGGGCGCGGAGAACAUUGAUACCUCUCUCGCAUUUACCAACUACAUAGUUAAGGUGAUGAAUACCAGACAUUUUGGAGUCCAAAAAUACACCAAGAAACUUCACAAAGUUGCAGCUAGGAAUAAUUUGGUCCUCAUAUUGAAGGUUGACAGCAGGAAUAGUUUGCCGACGUGUGAAGGUCACUGUACAGCUUUUAGAAGGGGAAAGAGAUAGACCAUGAUCAUCUAACCAGUCAUUCAGAUAUGCUAGAGCCUCAUUGAGUCUGUCAGCUGCUUCGUCGGUAUGAUGAGCUGUGGAGUAAAUGACCAAGUCAUCUGCAUACUGGAGGAUGCUGCAGAAAGGGGAGACAGAUUGCUCUAUAUCAUAGGUAUAUAGGUUAUAAAGAAUGGGACUAAGGACAGAGCCUUGAGGAAGGCCUCGCCAUACAGUAAGCGGAGAGUACAUAGUAUUCCCAAACCGAAUUUUAAUCGUUCUGCCCAUGAAUAGCUUAAAAAUAAUGUCGACUAUUCUCGAUGGAAUGCUCAGCUGACGCAGUUUUGCUCUGAGCAGAGGUAGUUGGACAUUAUCGUAUGCAGCGGAGAUGUCAAGAAAGCAUCCAACUAGUUGCUGUUUUUUAGAGAGUGCCAAUCUGAUAUCAGAGGUGUUCGAAGAUUUUACCCAUAGUGGCAGAUAGAGCUAUGGGGCGAUAAGAAGUGGAUUGCUGCGGGUCCUUGCCUGGCUUCAAGAUUGGGAUUACAAUCUGUGACUUCCAAUCCUCUGGGACCUCCCCCGACAUGAAGAACGAGUUGUAUAUUUGCAGGAGGAAUUCAGUGCAAGGGGGACUUAGUUUUUGGAUAAAGCAGUAUGGGAUGCCGUCCUCCCCGGGUGAGCUGUUACGUAGUCCUCUUAAAGCAAUAUCCAGUUCUGAGGUUGUAAAAGGGCUGUCAAAGUGAUGAUAUGUUGGGUGAGUGUCUUGAUGUGUAUAACAUUCCUCAGGCACAAACGGAGGAGCUAGUUUGUUGGCAAAUUCUCCUAGCCAGGUUGAAGGGUCACAUGAUGCUGUAGGGUCUGAUUUGAAGGAGCCUCUGAAUUUCUUAAUGUUUCUCCAUACCAAUGAUGGAGGGGUUUUAGGGUUUAGACUUUCGCAGAAGCCCUUCCAUCCUGCUUUUUUUGAUUUGUUAAGGCAGCGUUUAGUUUGAGCAGAUAUUUUUUUGAAAAGGGUGAAAUCUGAAGUUAGGCCUGAUCUAUUGUAUUUACGUUCUGCCAUGUCUCGCUCCUUGACAGCUUUUGUGCAGUCUGCGUUCCACCAGGG